ACUGCCUUAAAGAAGCAUUGCAGGUGUUCUUGCUGUGUCACAUGUGUGUCAGAAGGUAGCAGAAAAGAGAUACACGGUGUCUGCUCAGUAUUUUGAUAUGGGAAUAUCUGAUUGAUUAGUAGCCUAUCAUU